UCUAAUGAAGGCAGAUACCUCAAGACUCACAUUCAUUGAUCAACUUGAACAGGGAACAUCCAACAUGGAGUUGAGACUGAGCUGGAUUUUCCUUUUUGUUCUUUUAAAUGGAGUCCAGGGUGAAGUGCAGCUGGUGGAGUCAGGGGGAGGCUUAGUGAAGCCUGAAAGUUCCCUAAAGCUCUCCUGUGCCACAUCAGGAUUCACUUUCAGUGACUACUGGAUGCACUGGGUUCGCCAGGCUCCAGGAAAUGGGCUGGAGUGGGUUGGUGUAAUUAAACACAAACCUAAUAAUUAUGAAACAUACUAUGCGGAGUCUGUAAAAGGAAGAUUCACCAUCUCAAGAGAUGAUUCCAAAAGCAGUCUCUACCUGCAAAUGAACAGCUUAAGAACUGAAGACACCGCCAUUUAUUACUGUACAGUGCACAGUGACAGGCUUUCAGUGUGA